rnacentral:rRNA from 1 species
UACGUAGGGUGCGAGCGUUAAUCGGAAUUACUGGGCGUAAAGCGUGCGCAGGCGGUCCGCAAAGUCUGAUGUGAAAGCCCCGGGCUCAACCUGGGAACUGCAUUGGAAACUAACGGGCUCGAGUGUGGCAGAGGGGGGUGGAAUUCCACGUGUAGCAGUGAAAUGCGUAGAGAUGUGGAGGAACACCGAUGGCGAAGGCAGCCCCCUGGGCUAAAACUGACGCUCAGGCACGAAAGCGUGGGGAGCAAACAGG